GAGAAAGUAAGCAAGGGCAGACGGUGGAUGCCUUGGCUCUCGGAGGCGACGAAGGACGUGAUAAGCUGCGAAAAGCCCGGGGGAGGCGCAAAUAGCCCUUGAUCCCGGGAUAUCCGAAUGGGGCAACCCGGCAGGCUGAAGGCCUGUCAUCCCGUAAGGGGAGGCGAACGUGGGGAACUGAAACAUCUAAGUACCCAUAGGAGGAGAAAAUAAACAAUGAUUCCGUAAGUAGUGGCGAGCGAACACGGAAGAGCCCAAACCCAUGUCGUCUAGGCGACACGGGGUUGUAGGACCACGACGUGGCAAGAGGAUGGCAAGUGGAACGCCUUGGAAAGGGCGACCGUAGAGGGUGAUAGUCCCGUACACGACUGCCUGCCGAAGCCUAGUGGCAUCCUGAGUAGCGCGGGGCACGAGAAAUCUUGCGUGAAACAGCGGGGCCCAUCCCGUAAGGCUAAAUACUCCCGAGAGACCGAUAGCGAACCAGUACCGUGAGGGAAAGGUGAAAAGAACCCCGAGCAGGGGAGUGAAAUAGACCCUGAACCCGUCUGCCUACAAGCGGUCGGAGCAUAGCAAUAUGUGACGGCGUGCCUUUUGCAUAAUGAACCUACGAGUUACCUUCCCCGGCAAGGUUAAGUACCUAAGGUACGGAGCCGAAGCGAAAGCGAGUCUGAAGAGGGCGGCCAGUCGGGGGGGGUAGACGCGAAACCGAGUGAUCUACCCUUGGCCAGGUUGAAGGUUGGGUAACACCAACUGGAGGACCGGAUGGGUAAGCGUUGAAAAGCUUUCCAAUGAGCUGAGGGUAGGGGUGAAAGGCUAAUCAAACUCGGAGAUAGCUCGUACUCCCCGAAAUGCAUUUAGGUGCAGCCUCUUUAUAGUAUAUCGUGAGGUAGAGCGACUGAUUGGAUGCGAGGGCUUCACCGCCUAUCAAGUCCAGAUAAACUCCGAAUGCGCGAUAUAUAUUUACAGGGAGUGAGGGCGCGGGUGCUAAGGUCCGUGUCCGAGAGGAGAAGAAUCCAGACCACCGGCUAAGGCCCCCAAAUGAUCGUUGAGUUGAACUAACGAGGUCGGAUCGCAGAGACAGCUAGGAUGUUGGCUUGGAAGCAGCCAUUCAUUUAAAGAGUGCGUAACAGCUCACUAGUCGAGCGAUCUGGCGUGGAUAAUAAUCGGGCAUAAACGAUCUGCCGAAGCCGUGGAUGUCGUAAGACAUGGUAGGGGAGCAUUCCAUGCGGCGUCGAAGAUGAGGGAUGACCCUUGUUGGAGCGCAUGGAAAAGCAAAUGUAGGUAUGAGUAACGAUAAGGGGGCGAGAAACCCCCCGCCGAAAGACCAAGGUUUCCUGAUCAACGCUAAUCGGAUCAGGGUGAGUCGGGACCUAAGGCAAAGCCGAACGGCGCCGCCGAUGGAAGAAUGGGUUAAUAUUCCCAUACUGCCUCAUGGAGUGACGUGGAGACGGAGAAGUGACAGUCCUGCCGGCUGACGGAAUAGCCGGUUGAAGGGUGUAGAUAUUGAUUCCCGUAGGCAAAUCCGCGGGGAGAGUCGAACCUGACAGUAUACCGAGUACUUGUACGAGGUAAUAUGGACGUAACCAUGCUCCCAAGAAAAUCCGCUAAACUUAUCCAUGCGGCACCCGUACCGUAAACGGACACACGUGGUCGGGUUGAGAAUACUGAGGCGCUCGAGUGACUCACGGUUAAGGAACUAGGCAAAUUGACCCUGUAACUUCGGGAUAAAGGGUCCUCGUCGUAAGGCGAGGCGCAGAGAAUAGGUCCAGGCAACUGUUUAACAAAAACACAUGGCUAUGCUAAAUGGAAACAUGACGUAUAUAGCCUGACACCUGCCCGGUGCUGGAAGGUUAAGAGGAGAUGUCAUCGCAAGAGAAGCGUUGAAUUGAAGCCCCAGUAAACGGCGGCCGUAACUAUAACGGUCCUAAGGUAGCGAAAUUCCUUGUCGGGUAAGUUCCGACCUGCACGAAUGGUGUAAUGAUCUGGACACUGUCUCAACCGUGAGCUCGGUGAAAUUGUAGUAUCGGUGAAGAUGCCGAUUACCCGCGAUGGGACGAAAAGACCCCGUGAACCUUUACUAUAGCUUUACAUUGAAUUUGGGCAGACGAUGUGUAGGAUAGGCCGGAGGCUUUGAAGGGGGUACGCCAGUAUCCUUGGAGCCGCCGUUGAAAUACGGCCCUUCGGUUGUUUGAGUUCUAACUCCUAGGCAUGGGAGGACACUGUAUGGUGGGUAGUUUGACUGGGGUGGUCGCCUCCAAAAGCGUAACGGAGGCUUCUAAAGGUGCCCUCAGACCGAUUGGUAACCGGUCGUAGAGUGUAAUGGCAUAAGGGCGCUUGACUGGGAGAGAUACAACUCGAUCAGGUAGGAAACUAGAGCAUAGUGAUCCGGUGGUUCCGCAUGGAAGGGCCAUCGCUCAAAGGAUAAAAGGUACUCCGGGGAUAACAGGCUGAUCAUUCCCAAGAGCUCAUAUCGACGGAAUGGUUUGGCACCUCGAUGUCGGCUCGUCACAUCCUGGGGCUGGAGAAGGUCCCAAGGGUUGGGCUGUUCGCCCAUUAAAGUGGCACGCGAGCUGGGUUCAGAACGUCGUGAGACAGUUCGGUCUCUAUCUAUCGUGGGCGCAGGAGAUUUGAGGGGCUCUGACACUAGUACGAGAGGACCGUGUUGGACGUACCACUGGUUUACCGGUUGUCCCGCCAGGGGCACCGCCGGGUAUCUAAGUACGGAUCGGAUAAGUGCUGAAAGCAUCUAAGUACGAAGCCGGCCUCAAGAUUAGAUCUCCCUGAAGGGUGGUUAUAGACGAUGACCUUGAUAGGCCACAGGUGUAAGGGCGGCGACGUCCGAGCCGAGUGGUACUAAUAGCCCGGGACUUUCCUCA
rnacentral:rRNA from 1 species